UCUCUCCUUGGUGUAGUUGGUUCAUCACGUUCGACUGCAAAUGGAAAGGUCCCUAGUUCGAUUCUGGGAGGGAGAA
rnacentral:tRNA from 1 species